AUUGAACGCUGGCGGCAUGCCUUACACAUGCAAGUCGAACGGCAGCACGGGUGCUUGCACCUGGUGGCGAGUGGCGAACGGGUGAGUAAUACAUCGGAACGUACCUUAUCGUGGGGGAUAACGCAGCGAAAGCUGUGCUAAUACCGCAUACGCCCUGAGGGGGAAAGCGGGGGAUCGCAAGACCUCGCGCUAUUGGAGCAGCCGAUGUCCGAUUAGGUAGUUGGUGGGGUAAAGGCCUACCAAGCCUGCGAUCGGUAACUGGUCUGAGAGGACGACCAGUCACACUGGGACUGAGACACGGCCCAGACUCCUACGGGAGGCAGCAGUGAGGAAUUUUGGACAAUGGGCGAAAGCCUGAUCCAGCAAUGCCGCGUGUGUGAAGAAGGCCUCGGUUGUAAGCACUUUGUCUAGGAACGAAAAGGUACUGUGCUAAUACCACGGGCUGAUGACGGUACCUGAAGAAUAAGACACCGGCUAACUACGU
rnacentral:rRNA from 1 species